rnacentral:rRNA from 1 species
CCUACGGGUGGCAGCAGUGGGGAAUAUUGCACAAUGGGGGGAACCCUGAUGCAGCGACGCCGCGUGAGUGAAGAAGUAUUUCGGUAUGUAAAGCUCUUUCGGACGUGACGAUGAUGACGGUAGCGUCUAAAGAAGCACCGGCAAACUUCGUGCCAGCAGCCGCGGUAAUACGAAGGGUGCGAGCGUUGUUCGGAAUUACUGGGCGUAAAGGGAGUGUAGGCGGAUAUGUAAGAUAGCGGUGAAAUGCCGGGGCUCAACCCCGGAACUGCCAUUAUGACUAUGUAUCUAGAGUAAUGGAGAGGAUAGCGGAAUACCCAGUGUAGAGGUGAAAUUCGUAGAUAUUGGGUAGAACACCGGUGGCGAAGGCGGCUAUCUGGCCAUUUACUGACGCUGAGGCUCGAAAGCAUGGGGAUCAAACAGGAUUAGAUACCCCUGUAGUC